GGGGGAUAUGAUAGAAACAUUUAAAUAUAUAAAGGGAAUCAACACAGUAAAGGAGGAGACUAUAUUUAAAAGAAGAAAAACUACCACAACAAGAGGACAUAGUCUUAAAUUAGAGGGACAAAGGUUUAAAAAUAAUAUCAGGAAGUAUUACUUUACUGAGAGGGUAGUGGAUGCAUGGAAUAGCCUUCCAGCUGAAGUGGUAGCGGUUAACACAGUAAAGGAGUUUAAGCAUGCGUGGGAUAGGCAUAAGGCUAUCCUAACUAUAAGAUAAGACUAGGGACUAAUGAAAGUAUUUAGAAAAUUGGGCAGACUAGAUGGGCCGAAUGGUUCUUAUCUGCCGUAACAUUCUAUUUUUCUAUG